rnacentral:rRNA from 1 species
AACGUAGGGGACAAGCGUUAUCCGGAUUUACUGGGCGUAAAGCGCCCGUAGGCGGCCUGACAAGUUGGACGUGAAAGCUCCUGGCUUAACUGGGAGAGGCCGUUCAAAACUGUCAAGCUAGAGUCUGGAAGAGGAGAGCGGAAUUCCCGGUGUAGUGGUGGAAUGCGUAGAGAUCGGGAGGAACACCAGUGGCGAAAGCGGCUCUCUGGUCCAAAACUAACGCUGAGGGGCGAAAGCGUGGGGAGCGAACGGG